UAACACCUGGAAACAGAUGCUAAUACCGGAUAACAACACUAGACGCAUGUCUAGAGUUUAAAAGAUGGUUCUGCUAUCACUCUUGGAUGGACCUGCGGUGCAUUAGCUAGUUGGUAAGGCAACGGCUUACCAAGGCAAUGAUGCAUAGCCGAGUUGAGAGACUGAUCGGCCACAUUGGGACUGAGACACGGCCCAAACUCCUACGGGAGGCAGCAGCC
rnacentral:rRNA from 1 species